UACGGAGGAUCCGAGCGUUAUCCGGAAUUAUUGGGUUUAAAGGGUGCGUAGGCGGCCAUUUAAGUCAGCGGUGAAAUUUUGCAGCUCAACUGUAAAAGUGCCAUCGAUACUGGUUUUCUUGAGUGUAGAUGAAGUAGGCGGAAUUUGUGGUGUAGCGGUGAAAUGCAUAGAUAUCACGAGGAACUCCGAUUGCGAAGGCAGCUUACUAAGCUACUACUGACGCUCAGGCACGAAGGCGUGGGGGAUCAAACAGGAUUAGAUACCCCGGUA
rnacentral:rRNA from 1 species